CCAGACGGUCGGAUGGUCGCCUCUUGCUAUGGGGAAACCUACAAGGGGAGGAAAGUCCGGGCUCCAUGGAAACACGGUGCCGGUUAACGGCCGGCGGGGGCAACCCCAGGGAAAGUGCCGCAGAAAGUAAACCGCCUAACGGGCUCCGGUCCGUGGCAAGGGUGAAAGGGUGCGGUAAGAGC
rnacentral:RNase_P_RNA from 1 species